AUACGGAGGAUGCAAGCGUUAUCCGGAUUUAUUGGGUUUAAAGGGUGCGUAGGCUGUUCGGAAAGUCAGGGGUGAAAGCCCGGCGCCUAACGCCGGAACUGCCUUUGAUACUUCCGAGCUGGAAUACGGAUGCCGUGGGAGGAAUGAGUAGUGUAGCGGUGAAAUGCAUAGAUAUUACUCAGAACACCGAUUGCGAAGGCAUCUCACGAAUCCGUCAUUGACGCUGAGGCACGAAAGCGUGGGGAUCAAACAGGAUUAGAUACCCGGGUAGUCCACGCAGUAAACGAUGAUGACUAACCGUCGGCGAUACACAGUCGGUGGCCAAGCGAAAGCGAUAAGUGAUCCACCUGGGGAGUACGUUCGCAAGAAUGAAACUCAAAUGAAUUGACGGGG
rnacentral:rRNA from 1 species